rnacentral:rRNA from 1 species
UGGGGAAUAUUGCACAAUGGGCGCAAGCCUGAUGCAGCAACGCCGCGUGAACGAUGAAGGUCUUCGGAUCGUAAAGUUCUGUUGCAGGGGAAGAUAAUGACGGUACCCUGUGAGGAAGCCCCGGCUAACUACGUGCCAGCAGCCGCGGUAAUACGUAGGGGGCUAGCGUUAUCCGGAUUUACUGGGCGUAAAGGGUGCGUAGGUGGUCCUUCAAGUCGGUGGUUAAAGGCUACGGCUCAACCGUAGUAAGCCGCCGAAACUGGAGGGCUUGAGUGCAGGAGAGGAAAGGGGAAUUCCCAGUGUAGCGGUGAAAUGCGUAGAUAUUGGGAGGAAAACCAGUAGCGAAGGCGGCUUUCUGGACUGCAACUGACACUGAGGCACGAAAGGGUGGGUAGCAAACAGG